UACGUAGGGUGCGAGCGUUAAUCGGAAUUACUGGGCGUAAAGUGUGCGUAGGCGGGUCUUUAAGUCAGGGGUGAAAUCCUGGAGCUCAACUCCAGAACUGCCUUUGAUACUGAAGAUCUUGAGUCCGGGAGAGGUGAGUGGAACUGCGAGUGUAGAGGUGAAAUUCGUAGAUAUUCGCAAGAACACCAGUGGCGAAGGCGGCUCACUGGCCCGGUACUGACGCUGAGGCACGAAAGCGUGGGUAGCAAACAGG
rnacentral:rRNA from 1 species